rfam:Erinaceus europaeus unplaced genomic scaffold scaffold00737, whole genome shotgun sequence
UUGCUCACUUCAGCAGCACACAUACUAAAAUUGGAACGACACAGAGAAGGUUAGCAUGGCCCCUGCACAAGGAUGACACACAAAUUGGUAAAGUGUUCCAUACUUUU